rnacentral:rRNA from 1 species
AGAAUCAACGCUGGCGGCGUGCCUAACACAUGCAAGUCGAACGAGAAAGUGGAGCAAUCCAUGAGUAAAGUGGCGCACGGGUGAGUAACACGUGACUAACCUACCCUUGAGUGGGGAAUAACCUCGGGAAACCGGGGCUAAUACCGCAUAACACCUACGGGUCAAAGGAGCAAUUCGCUUAAGGAGGGGGUCGCGGCAGAUUAGUUAGUUGGCGGGGUAAUGGCCCACCAAGACGGUGAUCUGUAUCCGGCCUGAGAGGGCGCACGGACACACUGGAACUGAAACACGGUCCAGACUCCUACGGGAGGCAGCAGUGGGGAAUUUUGCGCAAUGGGGGAAACCCUGACGCAGCAACGCCGCGUGGAGGAUGAAGUCCCUUGGGACGUAAACUCCUUUCGAUCGGGACGAUUAUGACGGUACCGGAAGAAGAAGCCCCGGCUAACUUCGUGCCAGCAGCCGC